rnacentral:rRNA from 1 species
UGAGGUUAAGCGACUAAGCGUACACGGUGGAUGCCCUGGCAGUCAGAGGCGAUGAAGGACGUGCUAAUCUGCGAAAAGCGCCGGCGAGGUGAUAUGAACCUUUGACCCGGCGAUGUCCGAAUGGGGAAACCCAGUGUGUUCCGACACACUAUCGUUAACUGAAUACAUAGGUUAACGAGGCGAACCGGGGGAACUGAAACAUCUAAGUACCCCGAGGAAAAGAAAUCAACCGAGAUUCCCCCAGUAGCGGCGAGCGAACGGGGAGCAGCCCAGAGUCUGAAUCAGCUUGUGUGUUAGUGGAAGCGUCUGGAAAGUCGCACGGUACAGGGUGACAGUCCCGUACACGAAAGCACACAGGUUGUGAACUCGAAGAGUAGGGCGGGACACGUGGUAUCCUGUCUGAAUAUGGGGGGACCAUCCUCCAAGGCUAAAUACUCCUGACUGACCGAUAGUGAACCAGUACCGUGAGGGAAAGGCGAAAAGAACCCCGGCGAGGGGAGUGAAAAAGAACCUGAAACCGUGUACGUACAAGCAGUGGGAGCCUCUUUAUGGGGUGACUGCGUACCUUUUGUAUAAUGGGUCAGCGACUUAUAUUCUGUAGCAAGGUUAACCGUAUAGGGGAGCCGAAGGGAAACCGAGUCUUAACUGGGCGUUAAGUUGCAGGGUAUAGACCCGAAACCCGGUGAUCUAGCCAUGGGCAGGUUGAAGGUUGGGUAACACUAACUGGAGGACCGAACCGACUAAUGUUGAAAAAUUAGCGGAUGACUUGUGGCUGGGGGUGAAAGGCCAAUCAAACCGGGAGAUAGCUGGUUCUCCCCGAAAGCUAUUUAGGUAGCGCCUCGUGAACUCAUCUUCGGGGGUAGAGCACUGUUUCGGCUAGGGGGCCAUCCCGGCUUACCAACCCGAUGCAAACUACGAAUACCGAAGAAUGUUAUCACGGGAGACACACGGCGGGUGCUAACGUCCGUCGUGAAGAGGGAAACAACCCAGACCGCCAGCUAAGGUCCCAAAGUCAUGGUUAAGUGGGAAACGAUGUGGGAAGGCACAGACAGCCAGGAUGUUGGCUUAGAAGCAGCCAUCAUUUAAAGAAAGCGUAAUAGCUCACUGGUCGAGUCGGCCUGCGCGGAAGAUGUAACGGGGCUAAACCAUGCACCGAAGCUGCGGCAGCGACACUAUGUGUUGUUGGGUAGGGGAGCGUUCUGUAAGCCGUUGAAGGUGUCCUGUGAGGGGUGCUGGAGGUAUCAGAAGUGCGAAUGCUGACAUAAGUAACGAUAAAGCGGGUGAAAAGCCCGCUCGCCGGAAGACCAAGGGUUCCUGUCCAACGUUAAUCGGGGCAGGGUGAGUCGACCCCUAAGGCGAGGCCGAAAGGCGUAGUCGAUGGGAAACAGGUUAAUAUUCCUGUACUUGGUGUUACUGCGAAGGGGGGACGGAGAAGGCUAUGUUAGCCGGGCGACGGUUGUCCCGGUUUAAGCAUGUAGGCGGAGGUUCCAGGUAAAUCCGGUUCCUUGUUAACGCUGAGGUGUGAUGACGAGGCACUACGGUGCUGAAGUAACAAAUGCCCUGCUUCCAGGAAAAGCCUCUAAGCAUCAGGUAACAUCAAAUCGUACCCCAAACCGACACAGGUGGUCAGGUAGAGAAUACCAAGGCGCUUGAGAGAACUCGGGUGAAGGAACUAGGCAAAAUGGUGCCGUAACUUCGGGAGAAGGCACGCUGAUAUGUAGGUGAAGCCCCUGCGGGUGGAGCUGAAAUCAGUCGAAGAUACCAGCUGGCUGCAACUGUUUAUUAAAAACACAGCACUGUGCAAACACGAAAGUGGACGUAUACGGUGUGACGCCUGCCCGGUGCCGGAAGGUUAAUUGAUGGGGUUAGCGGCAACGCGAAGCUCUUGAUCGAAGCCCCGGUAAACGGCGGCCGUAACUAUAACGGUCCUAAGGUAGCGAAAUUCCUUGUCGGGUAAGUUCCGACCUGCACGAAUGGCGUAAUGAUGGCCAGGCUGUCUCCACCCGAGACUCAGUGAAAUUGAACUCGCUGUGAAGAUGCAGUGUACCCGCGGCAAGACGGAAAGACCCCGUGAACCUUUACUAUAGCUUGACACUGAACACUGGUCCUUGAUGUGUAGGAUAGGUGGGAGGCUUUGAAGCGUGGACGCCAGUCUGCGUGGAGCCAACCUUGAAAUACCACCCUUUAAUGGCUGGUGUUCUAACGUAGACCCGUGAUCCGGGUUGCGGACAGUGUCUGGUGGGUAGUUUGACUGGGGCGGUCUCCUCCCAAAGAGUAACGGAGGAGCACGAAGGUUAGCUAAUCCUGGUCGGACAUCAGGAGGUUAGUGCAAUGGCAUAAGCUAGCUUGACUGCGAGAGUGACGGCUCGAGCAGGUGCGAAAGCAGGUCAUAGUGAUCCGGUGGUUCUGAAUGGAAGGGCCAUCGCUCAACGGAUAAAAGGUACUCCGGGGAUAACAGGCUGAUACCGCCCAAGAGUUCAUAUCGACGGCGGUGUUUGGCACCUCGAUGUCGGCUCAUCACAUCCUGGGGCUGAAGUAGGUCCCAAGGGUAUGGCUGUUCGCCAUUUAAAGUGGUACGCGAGCUGGGUUUAGAACGUCGUGAGACAGUUCGGUCCCUAUCUGCCGUGGGCGCUGGAGAAUUGAGGGGGGCUGCUCCUAGUACGAGAGGACCGGAGUGGACGCAUCACUGGUGUUCGGGUUGUCAUGCCAAUGGCACUGCCCGGUAGCUAAAUGCGGAAGAGAUAAGUGCUGAAAGCAUCUAAGCACGAAACUUGCCCCGAGAUGAGUUCUCCCUGAGACUUUAAGUCUCCUGAAGGAACGUUGAAGACUACGACGUUGAUAGGUCGGGUGUGUAAGCGCAGCGAUGCGUUGAGCUAACCGAUACUAAUGAACCGUGAGGCUUAACCUU